CCCCACCCUCCCCGGCAGGGCGGCUCCUCAGGAGGAGGGUCCUGGUGCACGGCAGGUGCACCCUGAAUGUCUGUUGGACUCACUGUCCCCUUCUGUGAGAUGGGAGUGAGCCCGCCAUUCUGACAGGCCGCUGGGACGACCACCCGCUAAGGCAGACCUGACACGGGAGGCGGCACCCCAAGCUUCCGGAAGCCACGGCCAGCGGGUGUGCCCAGCACGGGCGUGCCCAGCAUGCGUCCAGUAGGCGUGUGCUCAGUUUUUGCUGAGCAAAGUCAGCCCAUCUCGACAGGACAGACACUGUAAGGUCCCACUUACACGAGGCCCCUAGAGAGUCAGAUCCACAGAGACGGUAACAGAUGGGGUCCUGGGGCGGGGGGAAGGGGUGUUUCAUGGGGACGGAGCUCCAAUUGGGAAGAUGAGAAAGUUCUGGAAGCGGAUGGUGUGAUGGCUGCACAGCAUGAAGGUACUCAAUGCCCCUGAACUGGACGCUGAGAAAUAGUUAAGACGGUCCAUUUUAUGCCCUGUGUAUUUUGCCACACUUAAAAAACCUAGUGGGGAGACUGAGGCGGGCAGGAUGCGACUCCCCACUUCCUCCUCCCAGCCGCCCGCCCACACUGCUAACGGCACAGGGUCAGGUCACGAGCGCAGCGUGAGGCACACGUGUGUGUGACAGGAGCCGGGUCGACCUUCCCCCCUCGGUGGCCACGGCCUGCCCUCCCGGCAGUGCCAGUGUGGAAGGACACGGCCCCCCUCUUCCUAGGCUCUGUGUCCUCGCUGACCCCAACUCUGGCUCCCCUCGGGCUGCAGGUAUCGGGAGUGGGGAGGGUGACACGGGGGCCUCGGUGUCCCCUACACUCCACGUACGCAGGCAGGCGCGAGGGGCCGGGAGGGACCCUAAGGAGAGGUCUUCCCAAAUGACCUCGCGAACCGGGAGGUCUAAUUGGGCUGGAGGCCUUGUGCUGUGAGGAUUACCAGGCAGGGGAGGGGUCCAGCUAGCACCUUCAGGGGCCUCAGACCCUUUGAGAAUCAGAUAAAAAGCCCUGCGAAUACAGGUUAGUGCAAGUCAGGUCCGGGACUCCACAGCCACCGCCUGACCUGUGCCCUCAACCUCAAAGCCCCCCGACACCGAACAGCUGUGACCUUGACUUAGAAAGAGGAGCCGUGCCUACGCUGACCAGACCGUGCCAGGCGCUGUGCUGGGUCCCUCGACCGGGUGUGUAACUGCCAGGACUGUUGGCAUGCUCACAAGGAGCUUUUACGUGGAUAGAGAAGAGCCUGAGAGACCGGGCCACACGGUGUGCGGAGUGAGGACCAGCGUGCGGGCAGUGUGGCGACGGGCGUCCUGGGACGGUCCCUGUAGAUGGUAGCGACAGGCGUCCUGGGACAGUCCACACAGAUGUGCAGUGACAGGUGUCCUGGGACAGUCUGUUAGAUGGUAGUGACGGGUGUCCUGGGACAGUCCUUGUAGAUGGUAGUGACGGGUGGCCUGGGACAGUCCCUGUGGAUGGUUGUGACGGGUGUCUUGGGAUAGGCUGUUAGAUGUGUAGUGACAGGCAUCCUGGGACAGUCCCUAUAGAUGUGCAGUGACAGGCAUCCUGGGACACUCUAUUAGAUGUGCAGUGACAGGUGUCCUGGGACAGUCCGUUAGAUGCGUAGUGACAGGCAUCCUGGGACAGUCCCUAUAGAUAUGUAGUGACAGGCGUCCUGGGACAGUCUCUGUAGAUGGUCGUGAUAGGAGUCCUGGGAUAUGCUGUUAGAUGUGCAGUGACAGGCAUCCUGGGACAGUCCCUGUAGAUGGUAGUGACAGGAGUCUUGGGACAGUCCGUUAGAUGCGUACUGACAGGCAUCCUGGGACAGUCCCUAUAGAUAUGUAGUGACAGGUGUCUUGGGACAGUCUAUUAGAUGUGCAGUGACAGUUGUCCUGGGACAAUCUCUGUAGAUGGUCGUGACAGGAGUCCUGGGAUAGGCGGUUAGGUGUGCAGUGACAGGCAUCUUGGGACAGUCCCUGUAGAUGUGUAGUGACAGGUGUCCUGGGACAGCUCGUUAGAUGUGCAGUGACAGGCAUCCUGGGACAGUCCCUGUAGAUGGUAGUGACAGGAGUCCUGGGACAGUCCAUUAGAUGU